ACCAAACGUGCAUUCAACGAAUUCGUACACAAAACUUAUAUUUAUAAUAAAAUAUUAAAUCAUUUCACAACACUAUUUUGUUUGUCGAUCGAUUUAAGACCGACGAUUGUUCAGUCACAAAACUGAUUUUAUUCGACUACGAAUCACACUAUAAUAUAUUAUAAUCAAGAAAAGAAGUGAAAUCUAUAACAAAUAUAUACUUCAAGACGUUCAAUUUAAAUGUAAAACACUUUUCAUCCGUAAAGCCAUAAAUGGAAUCCAUAAUUAUUCAGUUUAUUUGCCUAUAUUUAUUCAUUAUUAUUAUUAAAUUUCUGCAUGAUUAUAAUAUAUAGUACCUAUACACGACACACGUAUUUAAAAAAAUUCUAUUUUUAUAUUCAAUACAAUAUAUCCAAUAAUUGAAAACAAUAAAACUUACACUAAAAAAUUUAUUUUAAAGUGGAUCAAUAAAGAAAGGAUAUGUCGGAAUAUUUGAUGACGAUUUUUCGAUUUAUUUGUGAAAUAAUUUGAAAUGUCACACCAAUCACAAUGUGUGCUUCUUAU